UACGUAGGGGGCAAGCGUUGUCCGGAAUCAUUGGGCGUAAAGCGCGUGUAGGCGGUUCGAUAAGUCUGCUGUGAAAGUCCAGGCUCAACCCUGGAAGCCGGUGGAUACUGUCAGACUAGAGUGCGGAAGAGGCGAGUGGAAUUCCCGGUGUAGCGGUGAAAUGCGCAGAUAUCGGGAGGAACACCAAUUGCGAAGGCAGCUCGCUGGGACGUUACUGA
rnacentral:rRNA from 1 species